rnacentral:rRNA from 1 species
GGGUGCGAUCGUUCCAGCGUUAAUGCACCGGAUCCCAUCGGAACUCCGUAGUUAAGCGCGCUUGGGCUAGAGUAGUACUGGGAUGGGUGACCUCCCGGGAAGUCCUAGUGCUGCACCCU